rnacentral:miRNA from 1 species
GGAAUGCUGUCUGGUUCGAGAC